GGACGAACGCUGGCGGCGUGCCUAAUACAUGCAAGUAGAACGCUGAAGACUUUAGCUUGCUAAAGUUGGAAGAGUUGCGAACGGGUGAGUAACGCGUAGGUAACCUGCCUACUAGCGGGGGAUAACUAUUGGAAACGAUAGCUAAUACCGCAUAACAGCAUUUAACACAUGUUAGAUGCUUGAAAGGAGCAAUUGCUUCACUAGUAGAUGGACCUGCGUUGUAUUAGCUAGUUGGUGAGGUAACGGCUCACCAAGGCGACGAUACAUAGCCGACCUGAGAGGGUGAUCGGCCACACUGGGACUGAGACACGGCCCAGACUCCUACGGGAGGCAGCAGUAGGGAAUCUUCGGCAAUGGGGGCAACCCUGACCGAGCAACGCCGCGUGAGUGAAGAAGGUUUUCGGAUCGUAAAGCUCUGUUGUAAGAGAAGAACGUGUGUGAGAGUGGAAAGUUCACACAGUGACGGUAACUUACCAGAAAGGGACGGCUAACUACGUGCCAGCCGCAGC
rnacentral:rRNA from 1 species